rnacentral:sRNA from 1 species
GCACCAGCAAAAUCUGGUGUCGGGAUUGGCGUCCCGGUAAUUAUCAGAGCGCACAACACGCGCCAUGCGUGUUUUUU